UCUUUAUGUAGUCUUUAGGUCUCUCUUUAUGUAGUGUUGGGAUGUCUCUCUUUAUGUAGUGUUGGGUUGUCUCUCUUUAUGUAGUCUUUAGGUCUCUCUUUAUGUAGUGUUGGGUUGUCUCUCUACUGAUGUCAUUAGUUUUGAGUUAUUAUUUAGCAGUCAUUUUUGAAGACAGGUCAAAGGUUACAGAGGCUCCUCACUGUGUUAGAGGUUACAGUAUAAAGAUACACAUCAUGUUAACCUGGUGGAGGCUCCUCACUGUGUUAGAGGUUACAGUAUAAAGAUACACAUCAUGUUGACCUGGUGGAGGCUCCUCACUGUGUUAAGAGGUUACAGUAUAAAGAUACACAUCAUGUUGACCUGGUGGAGGCUCCUCACUGUGUUAGAGGUUACAGUAUAAAGAUACACAUCAUGUUGACCUGGUGGAGGCUCCUCACUGUGUUAAGAGGUUACAGUAUAAAGAUACACAUCAUGUUGACCUGGUGGAGGCUCCUCACUGUGUUAGAGGUUACAGUAUAAAGAUACACAUCAUGUUGACCUGGUGGAGGCUCCUCACUGUGUUAGAGGUUACAGUAUAAAGAUACACAUCAUGUUGACCUGGUGGAGGCUCCUCACUGUGUUAGAGGUUACAGUAUAAAGAUACACAUCAUGUUGACCUGGUGGAGGCUCCUCACUGUGUUAGAGGUUACAGUAUAAAGAUACACAUCAUGUUGACCUGGUGGAGGCUCCUCACUGUGUUAGAGGUUACAGUAUAAAGAUACACAUGUUGACCUGGUGGAGGCUCCUCACUGUGUUAGAGGUUACAGUAUAAAGAUACACAUCGUGUUGACCUGGUGGAGGCUCCUCACUGUGUUAGAGGUUACAGUAUAAAGAUACACAUCAUGUUGACCUGGUGGAGGCUCCUCACUGUGUUAGAGGUUACAGUAUAAAGAUACACAUCAUGUUGACCUGGUGGAGGCUCCUCACUGUGUUAGAGGUUACAGUAUAAAGAUACACAUGUUGACCUGGUGGAGGCUCCUCACUGUGUUAGAGGUUACAGUAUAAAGAUACACAUCAUGUUGACCUGGUGGAGGCUCCUCACUGUGUUAGAGGUUACAGUAUAAAGAUACACAUCAUGUUGACCUGGUGGAGGCUCCUCACUGUGUUAGAGGUUACAGUAUAAAGAUACACAUCAUGUUGACCUGGUGGAGGCUCCUCACUGUGUUAGAGGUUACAGUAUAAAGAUACAUCAUGUUGACCUGGUGGAGGCUCCUCACUGUGUUAGAGGUUACAGUAUAAAGAUACACAUCAUGUUGACCUGGUGGAGGCUCCUCACUGUGUCCCCUCCCCACUUCAGGACGUUCUCUUGGGGCUCGAGCUGCCUCUGCUCUGGCCAGGCAGCUCAGUGUUCGACCAGAGGAUGCAGUAGCAGGCCUCGUCUGUCUGUCCUUCCCCUACACCCUCCAGGACAGACCCACGGCCAUCGCCAGCGGAGCGAGGACCUCCGGGGUUGCCUACGGAGGUGCCUGUGUUGUUUCUGUCUGGCACUGCAGACAACAUGUGUGAGAAGAUCCUUCUGGAGGAUGUCGUUAAAGAGAUGAGGUGUCCAACGACUGUUCGCUGGGUGGAAGGAGGCAACCAUGGGCUCAUAGUGAAGGGAAGGACAGAGGAGUCUGUCCAGGAUGAACUCAACGCACAUGUCUUAUCAUGGAUUUUGGAACGAAUUGCAUGAAGCUGACUCUUUGAUUCUAAACAAACUACUCUUUGAUUCUAAACGAAUUACUCUUGAUUCUAAACGAAUUACUCUUGAUUCUAAA